AGUGAACGCUGGCGGUAGGCCUAACACAUGCAAGUCGAACGGCAGCACAGUAAGAGCUUGCUCUUACGGGUGGCGAGUGGAGGACGGGUGAGGAAUACAUCGGAAUCUACUUUUUCGUGGGGGAUAACGUAGGGAAACUUACGCUAAUACCGCAUACGACCUACGGGUGAAAGCAGGGGAUCUUCGGACCUUGCGCGACUGAAUGAGCCGAGGUCGGAUUAGCUAGUUGGCGGGGUAAAGGCCCACCAAGGCGACGAUCCGUAGCUGGUCUGAGAGGAUGAUCAGCCACACUGGAACUGAGACACGGUCCAGACUCCUACGGGAGGCAGCAGUGGGGAAUAUUGGACAAUGGGCGCAAGCCUGAUCCAGCCAUACCGCGUGGGUGAAGAAGGCCUUCGGGUUGUAAAGCCCUUUUGUUGGGAAAGAAAAGCAGCAGGUUAAUACCCCGCUGUUCUGACGGUACCCAAAGAAUAAGCACCGGCUAACUUCGUG
rnacentral:rRNA from 1 species